GGAAACGACUUCGUUCUUUGUCGAAAAUUUCUUCUUCCUUCUCGACUCGACGCUCAGCUCUCUCAGCCAGCCAGCCACGCCAGUUCAGCCUCUAACUCUCUCUCUCUCUCUCUCUCUCUCUCUCUCUCUCAUUUCGAUACCUCAGUUUUAGCCUCUCAAUCUCCAAUCUUGGCGUUAACCACUUCGAAUCUUGAAGUGGGUGUUCACUGUCAUCUCAGUCUCAGAUAAACCUCCUCUUCCUCAACCUACUCGGUCUAUGGUAAAGGAGAUUUCAUUAUGGGAAUUCCAAGCCUCCGCAUUUACAGAGUGUGCAUUUACACGCAUUUUGCAAAGUCUGGGACAUUCAAAUAAUCUUAUGACGGUAGGUAGAAACCUCAAACCUUUUUAUGCAGUGAGUAGAUAAGGAUUAUUGCUCUGCAAAACAUGGGAGGGGGGGAAAUACGUUUCCAAGUUUGAGGGCCAUGGUGGGUUUUCGACGGUUUCAUCCUAUUUCAAUAGAACGUGCCAGAAGAAACUGAUAAGAUGAGCAACUGCUCUGGAGUUGGGGUUUUAGGGGGUGUUAAUUCGAAAACGACUUCGUUCUUUGUCGAAAAUUUCUUCUUCCUUCUCGACUCGACGCUCAGCUCUCUCAGCCAGCCACCCACGUCAGUCUUAGCCUCUCAAUCUCCAAUCUUGGCGUCAACCCCUUCGAAUCUUGAAGCGGGUGUUCGCUGUCAUCUCAGUCUCAGAUAAACCUUCUCUUCCUCAACCUACCCGUGCUGUCCCUGCAGCUCCCUCUGCUGCUCCUGAGCAAGAGAAGGGGAAGGAAGAAUAUAAGGAUGUUAGUUUUAAUCAAUUGAGUAAAGGUAUCACUGAGCCAAUUUCAUUUGGGCAGCAGAAGUUAGCAUCCAUGGCAUCUGGUGGUGGUCGAGUAAUUGGAGUUGCGGUAUUGUUCCGCUCCUCCCCACCAUAUUCUUUUGAAUGAAACUUUAUGCAUUUUUUAUUCUUUUAAUUUUUUCAAUGGUAACAAUUAAGAAAUAAAUAAAGGACAUGUCAGCAUUUUUACUAUUUCUUAUUAAGAUAUACAUUUAUUAUUUAUUGUGUUACCCUUGAUGGAGAUGCCAUCCAUCCUUCAUAAAGUCCAACCAACGAAUUCUCGGCGCUUCCUAAGUGCUCCUGACAGGAAGCUUAUGCUUGAGAAGUUCUGAAGGCCACGAUCUCUCAUGCCUGUCAUGGACUCACCUCAAUUAUUGUAUAAGGGGAUUCUAAAUCCUUAACCAAUGUGAUACUCCCUGGCGUCGAUUGGCAGGAUUGUUUGAGAGAUUUAAUCAGACGCAUGUUCAGAGAAGCAAACUUUUUGGUGGUAUUGGUCAUCAAAAUUAUAAAUAUAUGUAAACAUUGUAAUUGUUUAAGUUGACCUAGCACAACAAUCCAAGUUUCACCACUCUCUCUCUCUCUCUCUCUCUCUUAAUUUUUGUUUACCCGUUUUGAUGUAAUUCCUGUUGUGGUAGGGUAAAGUUCCCCAUUGACCUAAAAA